rnacentral:rRNA from 1 species
AACGUAGGUGGCGAGCGUUAUCCGGAUUUACUGGGCGUAAAGGGUGUGCAGGCGGGCUGUUAAGUGGUGCAUGAAAUCUCCGCGCUUAACGUGGAGAGGCUGUGCCAGACUGGCAGUCUAGAGUACGAGAGAGGGUUGUGGAAUUCCAGGUGUAGCGGUGAAAUGCGUAGAUAUCUGGAGGAAUACCGGUGGCGAAGGCGGCAUCCUGGACCGAGAUUGACGCUGAUGAGCGAAAAGCUAGGGGAGCAAACGGG